rfam:Mustela putorius furo unplaced genomic scaffold scaffold00056, whole genome shotgun sequence.
AAACUGACUCUUUUCAGAGUCACCUGAAUUACCCUAAGGGAUUCUCU